UGAUGUUCAUGGUUCUGUAAUGAGGGA
rnacentral:piRNA from 2 species